ACAGGCUUAACACAUGCAAGUCGAGGGAUAGCAGGGUAGCAAUACCGCUGACGACCGGCGCACGGGUGAGUAACACGUAUCCAACCUUCCCAUAACUCGGGGAUAGCCUUUCGAAAGAAAGAUUAAUACCCGAUAGUACUUUAUUAAGGCAUCUUAAGAAAGUUAAAGAUUUAUUGGUUAUGGAUGGGGAUGCGUUCCAUUAGAUAGUUGGUGAGGUAACGGCUCACCAAGUCUUCGAUGGAUAGGGGUUCUGAGAGGAAGGUCCCCCACAUUGGUACUGAGACACGGACCAAACUCCUACGGGAGGCAGCAGUGAGGAAUAUUGGUCAAUGGGCGAGAGCCUGAACCAGCCAAGUAGCGUGAAGGAUGACGG
rnacentral:rRNA from 1 species